UAGGAUCCAAUUUUGUUGUUUCCCCAAGGUGACUGUUCAUAAGGAAUUUCAGCACAAUCGGAAGCAUAGUGCCCUAUUCUCCCACAAGAAUAACAGAAAUGGGGAAGACGCUCAUACUUGAACUCCACCCACAGCCAUUUGGAUCCAAUAUCCAGAAUUGCCCCCGAUUUCAGUGACUUGCUCUACUCUCCAACCAGGGGGAACGCCUCCGAAACGCACCCAAAAGGCAGCUUUAGUAAACUUGUAACAAUGCUCAGGGAUUUCUGGCUCACACUGUCUUAAUACAAUCAGGUUGCUAGAGUAUGACCAAGAUAACAGUGUCAGCUUUCCACGCUUUUUUCAUAGUGGAUACAAAUGCUGGGAAAUUGACAUUAGGUUUGGAGAAGAGCUUACCAAAGAGAGUGCGUUUACAUUCCUCCUUUUUGGACUGAGAAAUUUGAGGGGAGACUUCUACAACAUCUUCCUCAGACCAAAGACCGAUCGACCAGCCCUGAUGAUCGAGAAUUCCCUUCUUCCUCAAAUACACUCAAUCGAACGACCAGCACAGAAGCUCGAGAAUGCUCAUCUUCUCAAAUACAGAAAACCAAUCUACCAGCAUUAAGACUCGACAACACUUGCAGCCACUACUUCUCCGCAAUAACCGGAGCCAUCGAUUGAGGAAAUCAACCAGAACAAAAUAUCCACCCAAUCGCCCAGUAUCCGAAGAAACCUAGAGAUAAUCCGAAGGCUAAGCUACUAGAUCCAAACCAAUGCAGGAGGGCGAUGGCUAGAUUGGCGCAAUCCACUGUUCGAUUCGUAGUUCCGACUUCGACCCAGCACCAUUGGGGAAUUUUUUUUUUCUUUCUCCUCCAAGAUAAAAGACGCAGAAAAAAGGAAGGAAAGAAAGAAGGUUAAGGAAGCAAAAAGGUCUUAGGGUUUGGGAAGGGAAGCACUACUAUGGCGGUAGAGAAACGUUCUCAUGAAGGUCUUAGGGUUUGGGAAGGGAAGCACUACCAUGGCGGUAGAGAGACGCUCGCAUAGGCGAGAGAGGAGAAGGUGACCCUGGUUUGGGACCUCGGCAUUGUUGAGAAUCUCGCACAAUUUUGGGUAGGGGUUGGGAUGUACAAAGUGCUAGCUGAACCCAAAUCUGGCUUGCUUCCACCCUAGGUUACGCAUUUUGAUUGGACUUUUUGAAGUCACUUAGCAAAGAUAAUGAUAU